rnacentral:snRNA from 13 species
CUAGUUACCUAAUACCGGGAACUCCGUGAGCAGAAAGGCGGAGACCCUAGGAGGAAACCCCUCCAUUGCACUUCGGAAAAGCUAAGACCUGCCACUCUCCUAAACUGGGAAAGAUGGGCCAUGUGAUUUUUGGUAGAUUUUGCUAAUUUAUCAUACGAAUU